GACGAACCGUGCGGACGUUAUUCGGAAUCACUGGGCUUAAAGCGCGUGUAGGCGGAUGAGCACGUCUGUCGCUGAAAUCCCCCGGCUCAACCGGGGAACGGGCGUGGAUACGGCUUGUCUGGAGGGGCGUAGGGGGACCUGGAACUUCCGGUGGAGCGGUGAAAUGCGUUGAGAUCGGGAGGAACACCAGUGGCGAAGGCGGCUACCUGGACCAGCACUGACACUGAAGCACGAAAGCGUGGGGAGCAAACAGG
rnacentral:rRNA from 1 species